UACGUAGGGUGCGAGCGUUGUCCGGAAUUAUUGGGCGUAAAGAGCUCGUAGGCGGUGUGUCACGUCGGCCGUGAAAACCUGCAGCUUAACUGUGGGCGUGCGGUCGAUACGGGCAUCACUGGAGUUCGGCAGGGGAGACUGGAAUUCCUGGUGUAGCGGUGAAAUGCGCAGAUAUCAGGAGGAACACCGGUGGCGAAGGCGGGGUCUCUGGGCCGAUACUGACGC
rnacentral:rRNA from 1 species